GGCCUGAUGGUCUAGUAGUAUGAUUCCUUGUUAGGGUUGCGGGCCAAAUUGGUAAUCACCUGACGUCGAGACAGAGGUCCUGGGUUCAAUUCCCAGUUAGGCCC